UGGCUCCGAAUGGAGACGUGCAGUUCAACUGCGGAUAAAGUGUUGUGCGGUUCAAAUAGUAACAAAAAUAUAUACAUACAUAUAUAUGUAAAGAAUUUCGUUACUAUUUGAAUCGUACUGCACUGUACGGUUCGGUCACCAUUCGAAGCCUAUAUCACUACC